rnacentral:rRNA from 1 species
UACGAAGGGUGCUAGCGUUGUUCGGAAUUACUGGGCGUAAAGCGCGCGUAGGCGGCUUUUCAAGUCAGGGGUGAAAUCCCACGGCUCAACCGUGGAAUUGCCUUUGAAACUGUGAAGCUAGAGUGUCGGAGGGGAUAGCGGAAUUGCUAAUGUAGAGGUGAAAUUCGUAGAUAUUAGCAGGAACACCGGUGGCGAAGGCGGCUAUCUGGACGACAACUGACGCUGAGGCGCGAAAGCGUGGGGAGCAAACAGG